rnacentral:piRNA from 1 species
UCCAUGUCGAAUCCGUGUGUUCUUCUGU